AUUGAACGCUGGCGGCAUGCUUUACACAUGCAAGUCGAACGGCAGCGCGGGGCAACCUGGCGGCGAGUGGCGAACGGGUGAGUAAUACAUCGGAACGUACCCAGAAGUGGGGGAUAACGUAGCGAAAGUUACGCUAAUACCGCAUACGUUCUACGGAAGAAAGUGGGGGAUCGCAAGACCUCAUGCUUUUGGAGCGGCCGAUGUCUGAUUAGCUAGUUGGUGAGGUAAAGGCUCACCAAGGCGACGAUCAGUAGCUGGUCUGAGAGGACGACCAGCCACACUGGGACUGAGGCACGGCCCAGACUCCUACGGGAGGCAGCAGUGGGGAAUUUUGGACAAUGGGCGCAAGCCUGAUCCAGCAAUGCCGCGUGAGUGAAGAAGGCCUUCGGGUUGUAAAGCUCUUUUGUCAGGGAAGAAACGGCUGGGGCUAAUAUCCCCGGCUAAUGACGGUACCUGUAGAAUAAGCACCGGCUAACUACGUGCCAGCCGCCGCCGUAAUAC
rnacentral:rRNA from 1 species